rnacentral:rRNA from 1 species
UGCUGGAGCGAAUAGAAGUGAGCAUGCAGGCAUGAGUAGCGAUAAUUAAUGUGAGAAUCAUUAACGCCGUAAACCCAAGGUUUCCUACGCGAUGCUCGUCAUCGUAGGGUUAGUCGGGUCCUAAGUCGAGUCCGAAAGGGGUAGACGAUGGCAAAUUGGUUAAUAUUCCAAUACCAACAUUAGUGUGCGAUGGAAGGACGCUUAGGGCUAAGGGGGCUAGCGGAUGGAAGUGCUAGUCUAAGGUCGUAGGAGGUUAUACAGGCAAAUCCGUAUAACAUACUCCGAGAACUGAAAGGCUUUUUGAAGUCUUCGGAUGGAUAGAAGAACCCCUGAUGCCAUCGAGCCAAGAAAAGUUUCUAAGUUUAGCUAAUGUUGCCCGUACCGUAAACCGACACAGGUGGGUGGGAUGAGUAUUCUAAGGCGCGUGGAAGAACUCUCUUUAAGGAACUCUGCAAAAUAGCACCGUAUCUUCGGUAUAAGGUGUGGUUCGCUUCGUAUUAGGAUUUACUCCGAAAGCGAAGAAACUUACAACAAAGAGUCCCUCCCGACUGUUUACCAAAAACACAGCACUCUGCUAACUCGUAAGAGGAUGUAUAGGGUGUGACGCCUGCCCGGUGCUCGAAGGUUAAUUGAUGGGGUUAGCAUUAGCGAAGCUCUUGAUCGAAGCCCGAGUAAACGGCGGCCGUAACUAUAACGGUCCUAAGGUAGCGAAAUUCCUUGUCGGUUAAAUACCGACCUGCAUGAAUGGCGUAACGAGAUGGGAGCUGUCUCAAAGAGGGAUCCAGUGAAAUUGUAGUGGAGGUGAAAAUUCCUCCUACCCGCGGCAAGACGGAA